rnacentral:precursor_RNA from 8 species
UUCAUCCUCAGUGAGAUCUGGUCAGCAGUCAGAUGGAGAUGUUUUGCAAUUGUCUUGAAGAGUCGACAUUGCACUCAUCUCGGUCUGAUUGUGCAGAAUCCUAACACCGAUGCGAAUC